AGCCAGACCUGGAGGGCUUGGGUAAAAAUGGCUGAAUAUUUAGCUUCGAUAUUCGGGACUGAGAAGGACAAGGUUAACUGCUCUUUUUACUUUAAGAUCGGGGUCUGCCGGCACGGGGACCGGUGCUCCCGGCUUCACAACAAGCCGACAUUCAGCCAGCCCUGCCCUCUGAGCUCAGGCCCCGCCCCUUUUAAAUUCUGUGCAGACCAUAGUGCUGCUCAACCUGUACCGGAAUCCACAGAACACAGCCCAAACUGCAGACGGAUCACACUGAGGUGUUCACAGAACUGCAGGAGAAGUAUGGGGAGAUUGAAGAGAUGAAUGUGUGCGACAACCUUGGGGACCACCUCGUGGGCAACGUCUAUGUCAAGUUCCGGAGGGAGGAGGAUGGAGAGCGGGCCGUGGCUGAACUCAGUAACCGCUGGUUCAACGGGCAGGCUGUGCACGGGAAUGUACCCGAGGUGGCUUCUGCAACUUCAUGCAUCUGCGGCCCAUUUCCCAGAACCUCCAGAGGCAGCUCUAUGGGCGGGGACCCAGGCGCAGGCUGGAGUGCAAAGGCGCAGUCUUGGCUCAGUGCAACCUCUGCCUCCCAGUAGAGAUGGGGUUUCACCACGUUGGCCAGCCUGGUCUCGAACUCCGGACCUCAGGUCACCCCCGAGGUUCCAUACUGGCCACCAUCCCCGAGAGAGGAACCAUCGGUGUUCCCCUGAUCACUGGCAUGGCCGCUUCUGAGGCCCUGGCCCCCUUACCCUUCACCCCCAACAGGGACAGAUGUUCCUGGCAGGACCUCUCCUCAAAGCCCCCUUCACUCUCCUGCCCCAUCCUUCCCAGGCUCCCGGGCUCCAUAAUGUAAUCUGUUCAGCAUGGAGACCUUCUUCUACCGCCCCUGUCUUAAUAAAGCUGCGUGUUUCACUUCGGCAUCAA